UUACAUGUUUCAAUGAGAUCUAUAACCCCAGAGACAGAGAACAGCUCCUUAAUACAACAGCCUCCAAAGAGGCUUGAGCUCAAAUACCCCUGCAGAGAACAAGGCUUCCCAGUGUUAGAGACAAUAUUGGGGAGUUCUACCUCAUGCAACUGUACUUUUAAAGGAAAUCCAAGUUUGUGCCCACAAUAAUGUUCACUGGGGCCACAACCGGCGGCAGUUCCCUGCAGAGCCUGCAGUGAUGUGAGAACAGAGAGGAGCAGUGAGUGCCUGUUGGGAGUGCACUGGGCUCCUGGCAUCCUCAGCUGUUUUCCACCCACCCUUGAAAACCAUCUCUGGCCCAAAAUGGAACUGUGAGCUGUACCACAUGCUCCAAAUGAAGUGCUAAUUAAAUACUUCUACUUAAUGUAGACAACAUUUCUUUGAGAAGGCUGUAAUGUAUCGCAGAUGUGGCGAAUCCCUUGGAGAGCAGAGAAGGAGCAAUGUGCACGUUGGAUCCCUCUGUGAGUGACCUUGGUAGCGGGAAUACUGCAGGUGCUUCCAUAUGGAUGCACACUCUGACACAUGGGACAUAAAUGGUGGAGCUGUGGAGCUUGAUGGGUACUUGAGUCUUAAGAAAAACAGCUGGAUCCAGCCCCUGAUCCUGAGGGGGAUGAAAUCCAAUUUGCCUCCGGUGCUGACAGGUUUUCAGCCGGAUCUGCAGCCAGGUAAGAGGCUCCUGCAGCCACACCAUGCCAAG